rnacentral:rRNA from 1 species
UCGGAAACGGGGGCUAAUACCGAAUACGACACGGUCUCGCAUGAGAUCCGUGUGGAAAGUUUUUCGGUCUGGGAUGGUCUCGCGGCCUAUCAGCUUGUUGGUGGGGUAAUGGCCUACCAAGGCGACGACGGGUAGCCGGCCUGAGAGGGCGACCGGCCACACUGGGACUGAGACACGGCCCAGACUCCUACGGGAGGCAGCAGUGGGGAAUAUUGCACAAUGGGCGGAAGCCUGAUGCAGCGACGCCGCGUGAGGGAUGACGGCCUGGUUGUAA